GCUGGAGUCGUGGCUCAGUGGUAGAGUGCUUGCCUGGCAUGUGUGAGGCCCUGGGUUUGAUCCUCAACACAGCA
rnacentral:tRNA from 1 species